UUUUCUUUCCCUCCUUAUUUUUCUUGUUUUUUUGGUGGGAUUCAGUUCUGCUUGUGAUCAAUGGUGUUGGCUAUUGUACAAAUCUGUGUGUGGGUCUGUUCAAGUUAGGGUUUCAGGAUUAGAGUUUGGUGAGUUCAAAGACGAGUUACUCUCGUCUCGGCCUGGGUGAGUUAGUGGGUGAGUGAAACCGGGGUCGACUCAUGCCCGGGUGAGUGUGCAUGUGUUGACUGCACGAACUCGGGUGAGCUUAGUAAGGUACAUUGGGCGAGUGAUUGGCACGUGUUCAGGUCACGUGUUGACCUUAGGACUUAUGACAAUGGGCUCGAGGGACUUGGGCCUGAGUUUGAUUUAGAAGAAUGGGCUUGAGUCACAAAACGGGCUGACCUGUUUCUGUUUUUCAAAAACAGAGCCCGCGUUUUUUAAAAUGGGGCCGGCCCAAUUUGAAUUUUAAAACAGGGCUUGGUUUCUUUAAAAUGGGGCCGACCCAAUUUGAAUUUUAAAACAGGGCCUGGGUUUCUUUAAAAUGGGGCCAGCCUAAUUGAGUUUUAAAAUUUAGAAAUGGGCUUGGGUCAUUUUUUAAAAGAGUCAUUGGGCCUGGAUUUUAAAACAAAGCUCGGGUCUUGGGAUUUUCAAAAACGGGCUUGAGGGUUAGAAUUUUAAAAUAGGUCGAGGGUAUUUUAAAAACGAGCCAAGGGUUGAAUUGAAAAUAGGGACCCAGGAGUGUGAGAGUUAAGUUGGCCUCUGAUUUUUUUGAAAAUAGGCUCGGGUUUCAGUUUUUAAAACAAAGUGGGCUGGUUGAAUUUUGAGAAUCGGCUGGGCUUGGGUUCUGUUGGAGAAGGUGGGCCUUGACUUCGAACUUAGACCCAGACCUAGGUUUUAAAAUGUGGGGAGUGGGCUCGGGUAUUGAUCGUGGUUCGAAAUGGACUCGAACCCGGAUUUGAAUCCAGAUCAAAGGGGCAUCAAAGAAAAAAAACCCGAGUUCAGGUUCAGGUUUAACCUGAGUUCACUUUCAAAUGAGAACCAGAACACUAAAAGGGUACCUGCACUUCAUAGUUCACACAUAACACAAUUUAAGAUGUAAUCAUUUACGCAUGUGUGUUACCUCAGAUCUUUCCCCUCCUCGGUUUUCUUCUCCAGUGGGUGUGCUUGUCUGGUGUCUGGUUAUGAUUGUCCUGGUAUAUUGAACCUUUUGCAGUUUGCUCGGCUUUUUUGAAUGGUUGCUUUACUUCUGUGAUGCAAAGCUUUUCUUUGCUCUGCACCGUAUAGUGCAGAGCUUCUCUUCACUGAUCCUUCCUUUGGUCUCUUCUAUAGCUCUCUUUCUGAUCCUCCUUGGCUCUGUAAACUGUCUGAACUCCUGAAUUGCUAUGAAUUGUUGUACACGAUGAAAUGCUCACAAUUUCUCUCAAUUCUAGUAGAGUCUCUCUGAUUUUUCCUCUGUUUUUAUUUUCUCCUAAUUUUUCGCAGAGUUUUUCUAUGCCCUUCGGGGGUCCUUUAUAGUGGUGGGAGCCUUCCUAUUUAUUGGGAGGCUCUAGGAUGAUUCUGGCGCCAAUUCUUCCUUAGCAAUUCCCCACCAACGACCUGUGUCAGGGAAUAAUUUCCCUUAACAAACUUGCACAUGUGACUCUCCCCUCUCUUUUUGAUUUCUAAUUUUCAUUCUUCCUGUGCGCAGAUGAGUUGCUCUGGUGGACCCCCCCGAUUUGCCGGCUUUUUAGGGGCUUCCUGCUAGCAACACCAAACUUGUGGGUGGGUAAUCCAGGUGCCAUGCUGGGACUUGCGGGGAUUUUGGGGCUUCCAGGUGGCAUAUUGAGACUGGCGGGCAUGGCAUCCACUUUUUUUUCUUUUUUAUUUUAUUUUAUUUUAUUUUUAUGUUUUGUAAUUUUCCUUUUCCUUUUUUAUUUUUCUUCUGUAUUGUGACGUGUGUACCCCUAGUUUGUAUGCAUUUAUUUUCUUACC